UACUCUUUCAGCGAGAUUCUUUUGUUUUUAAUUAGUUCGUUUCGUUAUGCGUUUUGAAAAUUAGUAUUGCCUCUCAUGAUUAUAUCUUGUCAAAUUCAUUGUGAUAGUUUCGUUUGGCGUUCAUAGUUGGAACUCAUAUUUGUACUCUGUAGACUAGUACAACAUAUCUAAAUUUAUUUUGAUAUUGUAGUAAUGUGCAUGUUAAUAUUUUUGGAGACUUUGUGUUGAUAUCUCGUUUCAGUUUAACAUGUACAUGUUAGAACCCCUUUGUUGUGUCGCAUGUGUUGUGACAUUAUAUUUUGUUAGAAUACCGUAGGGUAUACCUGAGCUAUAACCACCUGUGGGGGUACCACAGGCAUGUCCUCUUGGCACCGAGGCAUGACACCUUCCGUGGCGGUGUGAUCAGUCCACGGCGUCUCCGUUUUGUGCUCCGGUGGGAGUUGGCCAUUUGAUGUUUUGUUGUGGGAGGCGUAUGGGUCGACCCUAGUUUUCUGUUCUGUUCUGUUCUGCGGAUUGGUGAUGUUUGUGCCAAACACACCUUCCGAUUUUUCACGCAUCUGGAUUGCGCAGUCCGAUGUAUGAUUGCCUGUGUGGCAUUAUUUUGGUUGCCUGUGUGGCAUUAUUUGACUUGCCAGUGUGGCAAGGUAUAUUACUAUUUAUUUUGAGCUCUGUAUGAAAUAACACCCAGCCAUUUGAUUCAGCCUAUUAUUUUACUGUGCUAGUUUUGUUCAUUUCAUUUCAGUUCGUUUUGUUUAAAUUCAUUUAAUUGAGUUAGUUAUUUCGGUUCAUUUCUUGUAUUCUAUAUCCGUACUGGGCAUUUGGUUCAUGCUGUGUUUUUCUUUCGGCAGGUAAUCAGGGGGAUCAAGGGCAAGUGUGACGAGAGCUUCCUUUAAUCCAAUAGUUUUGAUAUAUUUUGUUAGGCUUCGAUACAUUGAUUUAUUUAAAGUUGUAAUAAUUAUUUUAGAUUUUGGUUUAAGCCAGUGUGGCAUUUAUUAUGGUUUGUCUUAUGAUAUUGAAUUAUUAUGAGAUUAUUCUGUUAUGGUUUAGAGCUUUGUGAUCUUCCGUAGUUCUGUUGUGUUUUGAGUAACCUCUUUUUCUAUUUUGGAAAGGGGGUGUUACAGAGUUGGUAUCAGAGCUUAGGUUCUUUCUUGUAGAAAAUCUAUUUAGGUUUGACCUGUGAGUUAUGGGUAGACUUCUGGGUUAGGUUUUUGUUCUGUU
rnacentral:lncRNA from 1 species